rnacentral:rRNA from 1 species
UACGUAGGAGGCAAGCGUUGUCCGGAAUUACUGGGCGUAAAGCGCGCGUAGGCGGAAGGUGAAGCGUGGCCUGAAAGCCCCCGGCUCAACCGGGGAGGGCGGCUGCGAACUCGCCUUCUUGAGGGCGACAGAGGGGGGCGGAAUUCCUGGUGUAGCGGUGAAAUGCGUAGAGAUCAGGAGGAACACCCGUGGCGAAGGCGGCCCCCUGGGUCGGCCCUGACGCUGAGGCGCGAAAGCGUGGGGAGCGAACGGG